rnacentral:rRNA from 1 species
AGAGUUUGAUCCUGGCUCAGAUUGAACGCUGGCGGCGUGCCUUACACAUGCAAGUCGAACGGCAGCGCGGGGCAACCUGGCGGCGAGUGGCGAACGGGUGAGUAAUAUAUCGGAACGUACCCUGGAGUGGGGGAUAACGUAGCGAAAGUUACGCUAAUACCGCAUACGAUCUAAGGAUGAAAGUGGGGGAUCGCAAGACCUCAUGCUCCUGGAGCGGCCGAUAUCUGAUUAGCUAGUUGGCGGGGUAAAAGCCCACCAAGGCAACGAUCAGUAGCUGGUCUGAGAGGACGACCAGCCACACUGGAACUGAGACACGGUCCAGACUCCUACGGGAGGCAGCAGUGGGGAAUUUUGGACAAUGGGCGCAAGCCUGAUCGCAGCAAUGCCGCGUGAGUGAAGAAGGCCUUCGGG